GUUCCCUGUGAUGUUCAUACCAACCAUGCUAAUGCUGAGAUCAUUUGCUGAAGAACUCAUUGUAUGCUUUUCUCAGGGAAUU